rnacentral:rRNA from 1 species
AAAUAAAAUCUUGUUUAAAAUAAAUCGUAAAAGUUAAUUGUAAUAUUAAAAUUAUUUUUAAAUUAUUAAAAUUAAGUAUAAUUGAAUUGAAAUGUUGAAAAUAUACUAUAGUGAAAAGUACUGUAAAGGAAUGAUGAAAUAAAAUGAAAAAAUUAAUUAAAUCAAAGUAAAAAUAAAAAUUUGUACCUUGUGUAUCAGGGAAAAUUUAACUUUUUUCUAGAAAAAAAAAUCCCGAAAAAAAAAGAGUUAAUGUUAAAAUAAAGUUUUCGUAUUAAUGAAAUUUUAAAUUUAAUAUUAGUGGUGAAAUGCCAGCCGAUUUUUUAUAUCUGGUUAUCAGCGAAUUAAAUUUAAUUUGAUUGUUAAUUGAUAAACUUAAUUAAUAGUAAAGAAUAGAAGGGAAGAGCUUUUUAUUCUAAAAUAAAUCUGUUGUAAUUCUUAAAAGUUAAUUUUAAAAUUAAGCUUAAAAGCAGCUAAAUUUGUAAAGCGUUCUAGCUAAUAUAAUAAUUUUUUAUUAUUUUUAUAAAAAUUCAAUAAAGUAGCUGAUAUUUAUAAUUAAUAUAAAAUUAUAAGUUAUAAUAAUUUUAUGAGUAGAAAUAAACUGUGAUAAAAAUAAAAUAAAUUAAAAUUAAUAGUUUUGAAUUUUAAAUAUAUAAUCAAGGAACUCGGCAAAUGUUGUUUUUGCCUGUUUAUCAAAAACAUGUCUAUAUGAUUGAUAUAUAAAGUCUGGCCUGCCCACUGAUUAAAGUUAAAGGGCCGCGGUAUUUUGACCGUGCGAAGGUAGCAUAAUCAUUAGUCUUUUAAUUGAGGGCUUGUAUGAAUGGUUGGACAAAAAAUAAGCUGUCUCGAUUAUAAAAAUUGAAUUUAACUUUUAAGUGAAAAGGCUUAAAUAAUUUAAGGGGACGAUAAGACCCUAUAAAGCUUUACAGUUAUCUAAUUAAAUUGUAAAUUGUUAGUUUAACAUAAUUAAGUUAGUGGUUGUUUCGUUGGGGCGACGGGAAUAUAAUUUGUAACUGUUCUUUUAUAAUUUGUUACAAUGAUUUUUGGUUGAUAAAUGAUCCUUUAUUAAAGAUUAAAAGAUCAAGUUACUUUAGGGAUAACAGCGUAAUCUUCUUUGAAAGUUCAUAUCGACAAGAAGGGUUGCGACCUCGAUGUUGAAUUAAGGUGUCUUUGCGGUGCAGCAGCUGCAAUAAGAAGGUCUGUUCGACCUUUAAUUCCUUACAUGAUUUGAGUUCAGACCGGCGUGAGCCAGGUUGGUUUCUAUCUCUUAACAAUGAAAAAUUGCUUUAGUACGAAAGGAUUAAGUAAUUAAAAUAAUUUUUAAAAUAAAGAUUAACAUUAAUU